rnacentral:rRNA from 1 species
UACGUAGUGUGCGAGCGUUGUCCGGAAUUAUUGGGCGUAAAGAGCUUGUAGGCGGUCUGUCGCGUCUGCUGUGAAAUUUCGGGGCUCAACCCCGAACUUGCAGUGGGUACGGGCAGACUAGAGUGUGGUAGGGGAGACUGGAAUUCCUGGUGUAGCGGUGAAAUGCGCAGAUAUCAGGAGGAACACCGGUGGCGAAGGCGGGUCUCUGGGCCGAUACUGACGCUGAGGAGCGAAAGCGUGGGGAGCGAACAGG